rnacentral:rRNA from 1 species
UGGCGAGUGGCGAACGGGUGAGUAAUACAUCGGAACGUGUCCUGUAGUGGGGGAUAGCCCGGCGAAAGCCGGAUUAAUACCGCAUACGCUCUACGGAGGAAAGGGGGGGAUCUUAGGACCUCCCGCUACAGGGGCGGCCGAUGGCAGAUUAGCUAGUUGGUGGGGUAAAGGCCUACCAAGGCGACGAUCUGUAGCUGGUCUGAGAGGACGACCAGCCACACUGGGACUGAGACACGGCCCAGACUCCUACGGGAGGCAGCAGUGGGGAAUUUUGGACAAUGGGGGCAACCCUGAUCCAGCAAUGCCGCGUGUGUGAAGAAGGCCUUCGGGUUGUAAAGCACUUUUGUCCGGAAAGAAAACGCCGUGGUUAAUACCCGUGGCGGAUGACGGUACCGGAAGAAUAAGCACCGGCUAACUACGUGCCAGCAGCCGCGGUAAUACGUAGGGUGCAAGCGUUAAUCGGAAUUACUGGGCGUAAAGCGUGCGCAGGCGGUCCGCUAAGACAGAUGUGA